rnacentral:rRNA from 1 species
AACCAGUACCGUGAGGGAAAGGCGAAAAGAACCCCGGCGAGGGGAGUGAAAAAGAACCUGAAACCGUGUACGUACAAGCAGUGGGAGCCUCUUCAUGGGGUGACUGCGUACCUUUUGUAUAAUGGGUCAGCGACUUAUAUUCUGUAGCAAGGUUAACCGAAUAGGGGAGCCGAAGGGAAACCGAGUCUUAACUGGGCGUUAAGUUGCAGGGUAUAGACCCGAAACCCGGUGAUCUAGCCAUGGGCAGGUUGAAGGUUGGGUAACACUAACUGGAGGACCGAACCGACUAAUGUUGAAAAAUUAGCGGAUGACUUGUGGCUGGGGGUGAAAGGCCAAUCAAACCGGGAGAUAGCUGGUUCUCCCCGAAAGCUAUUUAGGUAGCGCCUCGUGAAUUCAUCUCCGGGGGUAGAGCACUGUUUCGGCAAGGGGGUCAUCCCGACUUACCAACCCGAUGCAAACUGCGAAUACCGGAGAAUGUUAUCACGGGAGACACACGGCGGGUGCUAACGUCCGUCGUGAAGAGGGAAACAACCCAGACCGCCAGCUAAGGUCCCAAAGUCAUGGUUAAGUGGGAAACGAUGUGGGAAGGCCCAGACAGCCAGGAUGUUGGCUUAGAAGCAGCCAUCAUUUAAAGAAAGCGUAAUAGCUCACUGGUCGAGUCGGCCUGCGCGGAAGAUGUAACGGGGCUAAACCAUGCACCGAAGCUGCGGCAGCGACACUAUGUGUUGUUGGGUAGGGGAGCG